CGGAAGGCAGCAGUGAGGAAUAUUGGUCAAUGGACGAGAGUCUGAACCAGCCAAGUAGCGUGCAGGAUGACGGCCCUAUGGGGUGUAAACUGCUUUUGUACGGGAAUAAAGUGACCUACGUGUAGGUUUUUGCAUGUACCGUAAGAAUAGGGACCGGCUAAUUCCGUGCCAGCCGCCGCGGUAAUACGGAAGGUCCGGGCGUUAUCCGGAUUUAUUGGGUUUAAAGGGAGCGUAGGCCGUGCUUUAAGCGUGUUGUGAAAUGUAGGCGCCCAACGUCUGCACUGCAGCGCGAACUGGAGCACUUGAGUACGCAGGAAGUAGGCGGAAUUCGUCGUGUAGCGGUGAAAUGCUUAGAUAUGACGAAGAACUCCGAUUGGGAAGCCAGCUUACUGUAGCGCCACUGACGCUGAUGCUCGAAAGCGUGGGUAUCGAACAGGAUUAGAUACCCUGGUA
rnacentral:rRNA from 1 species